UUUCCCCUGCGCCGCGCGUGAUGGGUAUUGGGUUUGCAACGAACCAACACCUCGAAGAGGGGAGUUCUCGCUUAAUGUGGUGUGCGCGCCCUUCGGGGAUCGCCUGAAGCAUUAAUGGAACGCCCACCUGCUAUGAGUUUCGAACCUCAUCCGGUUCGAAUCGCCCAACGUUACACACGGCGGCGCGGGGGAAUU
rnacentral:other from 1 species